GGGUGAUUAGCUCAUCUGGUUAGAGCAGUUGGCUGUUAACCAACAGGUGCCAGGUUCGACUCCUGGAUCACCCGCCA
rnacentral:tRNA from 5 species